rnacentral:tRNA from 1 species
CACUAAGAAGCUAUGCAACAGCACUAGCCUUUUAAGCUAGAAACAGAGAGAAUACUACACUCUCCUUAGUGA